UACGGGGGGGGCAAGCGUUGUUCGGAAUUACUGGGCGUAAAGGGCUCGUAGGUGGCCAACUAAGUCAGACGUGAAAUCCCUCGGCUUAACCGGGGAACUGCGUCUGAUACUGGAUGGCUUGAGUUUGGGAGAGGGACGCGGAAUUCCUGGUGUAGCGGUGAAAUGCGCAGAUAUCAGGAGGAACACCCGUAGCGAAGGCGGCACUCUGGGCCGGAACUGACGCUGAGGAGCGAAAGCGUGGGGAGCGAACAGG
rnacentral:rRNA from 1 species